rnacentral:lncRNA from 1 species
GCGAGAGCAAUUUGCACACCCAACAGCAGCAUAGCCUGACCUCAAACUUCUUUUCUUUGUAGGAAGCCCUGUAGCAGUCCCGGAGUGAUGGGACUCCCUGCCUGGCCUGAGAUACCCAGUUAGCACCUGCGAAUCAGAAUUUCCUCUUCGCAGCAAUAAAGCAUCCAGCCUUUGCAUCUGUGACAGCCUCCCCUGUAAUUUAUGCAUUCUAUGGAAAACACCAAAUGAUCUUGGCCAACCUGAUAUAUUAAACACUUCAGAGCCAGAGCUGACCAACUACUACUGGAGGCAGGCCAGUGCCUGAUCUUAGUGGUUCCUCGACUCCAUUUAAAGACUAACUUCAGCUUUAAAAUGGGCAGUUCCUGAAUCCAAGCUCCUUUGAGGGAAAAAUGACAGAUCUCCUCAACAUUCACAAUUUGUAUGCCCUGGUGUGGCUUAGAAGUAAAAAGUCUACCUGCAGUGCAAGAGACCCAGGUUUAACCCCUGUGUUGGGAAAAUCCGCUGGAGAAGGGAAUGGCAACCCACUCCAGUAUUCUUGCCUGGAGAAUCCCAUGGACAGAGGAGCCUGGCAAGCUACAGCCCACGGGGUCACAAGGAGUCGGACAUGACUGAGUGAGUUUACUUCACUUCACAGAGAGAAAAAAGUAAGAGAAAGAUGUUUUUUUUAAAUAUUGUUGUAAAAGAUACAACUUAUAAGUUAUAAAUUCUAGAAUUUUAUGAAUGGUGAACUCAUAGAUGAAAAAGAGUGUUAGGCAUUUUGGCUGCAGGAAACAGUUACCUUAGUAAUGGAAGUUUCUAGAAAGGGCAUAUGAGAAAAUAGAGAAGAGAGUAUUCUCACAGGAAUCGAAGAACAUCCAUUACCCGAGAUCCCACAUAGUCCUGAGCACUAGUGUUAUAUCUGUUGUCUCUGUAGGAGCAAGAAUUUAUAGAUCUAUGCUCUGAUACCAUUAACAAGGCUCUAUUAUUCUGUGUUUAUACUUCUCAUUGUGUCCUUUAUAAUUUCUCUUCCCACUAUUUGGAGAUCCAAAGUGAUGAAGACCAUAGAUUCUACAAUUAAAA